GGAUUGAACACCCCUAUUUGGGAACCGAUUUAGAUAGAGGUUUUUAGAACACGUGUCGGAAAACCACGAAGUUUCAAUUUUUUUUUUAUCUCCGUCUUCUGUCGUCGUCUCCUUCUCCUCUGGGCUUCUCCGCUGAGUUUUUAGCACUCUUCUUUUGUUUCUUCAGCUACCAAAUCAACCUCUCUCUCUCCAGUUAUGAGAGAAAUUACAAGCCCCUGGUUGACUCUAAAGAAAGCUAAGGAGCUUGCGAUUUCUCCAGCUCAAGGACAGGACAAAGGCAUAAAAGUGCUUGUGGGAGCAGUAACGUUUUGUAUGAUCGGCCUAGUGAAGAUGUGUCAUUGUCGUCACUCACGUUUUUUUUGCUAGUGUAUCACAAACUUUUCUAUCCUUGUGUAUUAUUCACUCACGGACUCUUGUUUGGUCUUCUAUUAUCAACACACUUGUUUGGUCUUUUUAUCUUGUAAUGAGUGUCUUGUAUUCUUGUCUAUUAUGAGUCACGGAAGUGGUGUUGUGUUUGUUGUUUUCUUGUGUCAUUGUCUUUAAAAUACAAUCUUGUAUUGAAUUUGUAUCUUGUAAUGAAAGUAUCGUCUUUAGAAUU